UGGGGAAUAUUGCACAAUGGGCGCAAGCCUGAUGCAGCCAUGCCGCGUGUAUGAAGAAGGCCUUCGGGUUGUAAAGUACUUUCAGCGAGGAGGAAGGGGAUGUGGUUAAUAACCGCAUUCAUUGACGUUACUCGCAGAAGAAGCACCGGCUAACUCCGUG
rnacentral:rRNA from 1 species